CAUGAACUCGUGGUGUUCAGUCGCAGAUAUGGAAAAGACAGGUGUGGCUUCAUGGUUUCCCUUGUGAUGAAAUAAUGGAGAAGACGGGAGGGUGAAGGGAUGACAGGAACUGUCGGAAUGACUGAGGGCAGCUCAUCCCCCAGAGACGUCUUUCUCCCACAAUGCCCUGACCCUGAGAUCUAUGUGUGGAAUUCUCUGCUCAUUUAUCAGUGUGGGCCUGCUCCUCUCCCUGUGUGCUCUAAUUUUUUCACAGUCCCGAUCCUGGUACUGUUGCACCCCAAACUACAUCUGUGUAACUGUCAGACUCACACACAACUGAGUAAACCUACAGCUGUGGAAAAAUACUAAAAUAAGUUAUGCGUUUUUCUCUCCAAAUUUAACAUAUAAACUCUUAACAUAACUAUUAAAGUUAAAAUAAGCUGUACUUUUUUUACUUUUAAGUAUUAAGUACUCAAGUAUUUUUAGCCUGAUAUGUUUUUCAGCACUUUUCCCCUGUUUUU